AUUAUCUCUCCAGCCCCUUCAGCCAGCUGUCUCAGUGUUAAGAGUAAACUGAAUCUCAGAGGAGGGAAAGAUUCACUUGGAGGGAGCAAUCAAUAACUAAAUUGACAGCUCAAGCCUCUUGCUUCCAGUUCCUGAUUUUCUAUGAGGGGACCUUGUAGGACCAAAAAGGCUAAUAGAAUUUGACACUUCAGAUUAAUAUGGAGGUUGGAGGGGGACAAAGUUGAAAAGAAUGCCUCCCCAGCCUGACCAUAGCAUGUGUUGGAUACAAGACAGAGAGGGAAACGAGAUAUUCUGAGGUCUGCUUGAAUGGGGUUGGAAUUGUAUUAGUAAAUAUCUCAGGUCCUGGACCUCAGCCGGGUCCAGUAUAGGUGAGUUGGGCUAUGCCAUCUUUAAUGGCAGGGAAGUCUGGGAGGCUGGUGUGGUGAAGGCGGCAGCGAUAGCGACCACAGCUCUUGGUGUACUGUAGGAAGCGGGGUGCACCAGGAAAAAGCACAUGGUCAGCCAAUACAGUGGCGCCAUGUGGGAGCAGAGCAUGGGCCUCCAGUAGCUGCAGAUCCCUUAAGUAAUACCGAGGUCGGUGUGCCAGGAGCACCAGAUCUGCACGAUUCAGCUGGUGCUGAGCUCUUAGGCGUGGGAUCACUUCCUCUGAGCUGCCUGCAAUGAGCUCCACCUGUGGGGAAAGCCAUAGCUGGAGGUGAGGAGAACUGCUUUUCCACGCUAGACCCCACCGGGAUCUGGCUGAUUUAUGCCAGGUAUUAAUCUAGGCCUUCACAAGUGUCUCAAACGUUUCCUCUGACCUCAGAAAUCCAGUAGUCAGUUUCAGUAUUGUAAUUCUAUUGUGUGCCCAUGAAGAAGCUGAGAAUCAGAGGCUAUGUGUUUCCCCUGGGGUCACAUGACUAACCAAAGACUAAGAUUUGGACUCAGACUUGCUGAGCUAUGGAGAGUUUCCUUUUAGCUGCUGCUUUUGUAACCCCGCAGGAAGUAAGUGCAAAAGACUCGGGAUUGUGGGUAGGAGCAGCAUGCCCUCCAGGAUGCCAGCUGCCUGAGUGGAGCUGCUUCCUUGAAUGGGAGUCCCUCAUGAAAGAGGCCUGGUCUGAGCAAUUCCUGGGAUAGCUGAAGAGAUCAGCGUUGGGGCGAUAGGGGCUGACCAUUUGCUCAUCGAAGCCUGCCAGCCGGAUGACUUUUUCAGCCACUGCUGCUGUACGUGAGUCCCGCUCCACAGUGAGAAGGCGACUUCCAGGGGGCAAGGCUCGCGCAAUAAGCAGUGUAGAGUAUCCACAGUAUGUGCCCAGCUCCAGCACACAAGCAGGGGCCUUCUCUUCCACCAGCCGCAUCAGAAUCUGACCUAUGGGUCAAGAUGGCUAUUUUAGAAGACAUUGAAAACAGGUGUGCCCAGAAUCAAACCUGCUGUGCUUUUCUGAAUGUGGUGUUUAUGUGUGAGGCUGACAGGCUGCUUUCCCCUUUCCCACACCUGUCUCCAUCCACCUGGCCAACUUGAAGAGAAGCCUUCCAGUCUCAGUUUAGAUGUUUCUUCCUCCAGGAGGACCCAGGCGAAAUAUCCACCCUACCUUCCAGGUUCCCGAGACAUUUUCAGUUUCAUGCUCAAAUGCACUUCCCCAUUGCUGAUUGUCUUUGAUUUUGGAAUUGAAUAAAUCUCUUAAUACUUAGAAGUACUUGUGCUAUCUCAGCAGACAGCUAUCCUGAGUUGGUUGUGGAAGCCUCUUUGGUAGGGAAGAAAGUCUAGAACAGAUAAUUACAAACCUCUGAGUUAUGGCUAUUCCCCUAUGUUAUGAUCUCUUUGAGGCCAGCAUUUGUGGCUGGUUACCCUCUGUGAUCUCUGCCUCCCUCAGCACCUGGCACAAAAGAGUGGCAAUAAAUGUCUGCUGGAUAACUG
rnacentral:lncRNA from 1 species